GGUAACGUACCCUGUGCUUUGGGAUAGCGUCAGUAGCUUCGGCUACUUUCCGAAAGGGGCGGUAAUACCAGAUAAUAUCAUUUGUCGAUAGGCAGAUGAUCAAAGAUUUAUCGGCGCAGGAGCGGCCUGUCUCCUAUCAGCUUGUUGGUGAGGUAAUGGCUCACCAAGGCAACGACGGGUAGCGGGACUGAGAGGUUGGCCCGCAACAUCGGGACUGAGACACUGCCCGGACCUCCACGGAGGGCUGCAGUAACGGAUAUUGUGCAAUGGGCGAAAGCCUGACACAGCGACGCCGCGUGUAGGAGGAAGUCUUUCGGGAUGUAAACUACUGUCAGGGGGAAGAAAGUGCGCUCCGGCGUAUUGAUCUAACCCAGAGGAAGUCACGGCUAACUUCGUGCCAGCAGCCGCGGUAAGACGAAGGUGGCAAGCGUUGUUCGGUAUUACUGGGCUUAAAGCGUGUGUAGGCGGAAAUGUAAGCGUUGCGUGAAAUCCCCCGGCUUAACCGGGGAACUGCGCAACGAACUGCGUUUCUUGAGGCAAGUAGGGGCGCAUGGAACUCUUGGUGGAGCGGUGGAAUGCGUAGAUAUCAAGAGGAACGCCAGUGGAGAAAUCGGUGCACUGGGCUUGUUCUGACGCUGAGACACGAAAGCGUGGGGAGCGAACGGGAUUAGAUACCCCGGUAGUCCACGCCGUAAACGAUGUCAACUAGCCGUUGGGACCUUGAGGUCUCAGUGGUGCAGCUAACGCGUGAAGUUGACCGCCUGGGGAGUACGGCCGCAAGGCUAAAACUCAAAUGAAUUGACGGGGGCCCGCACAAGCGGUGGAGCAUGUGGUUUAAUUCGAUGCAACGCGAAGAACCUUACCUACCCUUGACAUCAUCAGAACUUGUUAGAGAUAACUCGGUGCCUUCGGGAACUGAAUGACAGGUGCUGCAUGGCUGUCGUCAGCUCGUGUCGUGAGAUGUUGGGUUAAGUCCCGCAACGAGCGCAACCCUUAUCCUUAGUUGCCAGCACGUAAUGGUGGGAACUCUAAGGAGACUGCCGGUGAUAAACCGGAGGAAGGUGGGGAUGACGUCAAGUCAUCAUGGCCCUUAUGGGUAGGGCUACACACGUGCUACGAUGGCCAGUACAGAGGGCAGCAAACUCGCGAGAGUAAGCAAAUCCCAGAAAGCUGGUCGUAGUCCGGAUUGGAGUCUGCAACUCGACUCCAUGAAGUUGGAAUCGCUAGUAAUCGCGAAUCAGAAUGUCGCGGUGAAUACGUUCCCGGGCCUUGUACACACCGCCCGUCACACCAUGGGAGUGGGCUGCAAAAGAAGUGGGUAGUUUAACCUUCGGGAGAACGCUCACCACUUUGUGGUUCAUGACUGGGGUGAAGUCGUAACAAGGUA
rnacentral:rRNA from 1 species